UUCGCAAUGCCCGAAAGGGUGACGAAGCGACGCCGCGUGUGGGAAGAAGGCCUUCGGGUUGUAAACCACUGUCGGGAGUUAAGAAAUGCAAGAAUGUUAAUAGCGUUUUUGCUUGACUAAGGCUCCGGAGGAAGCCACGGCUAACUCUGUGCCAGCAGCCGCGGUAAUACAGAGGCGGCAAGCGUUGUUCGGGAUUAUUGGGCGUAAAGAGCACGUAGGCGGCCUUGUAAGUCAGUUGUGAAAGCCUUCUGCUUAACGGAAGAACAGCAGCUGAUACUGCAAGGCUAGAGUGCGGAAGGGGAGAGUGGAACUUCUGGUGGAGCGGUGAAAUGCGUAGAUAUCAGAAGGAACACCGGCGGCGAAGGCGACUCUCUGGUCCGUAACUGACGCUGAGUGUGCGAAAGCUAGGGGAGCAAACGGGAUUAGAUACCCCGGUAGUCCUAGCCGUAAAC
rnacentral:rRNA from 1 species